rnacentral:misc_RNA from 1 species
ACAAAUCUGCUAUAUGGCGAGCCCGAGAGGGAUCGCACAUAUAUAUUUACCCCGAGCUGGUGUUGCACUUUUGUGCAAAGGCCAGCUUUGGUUGGGCAGGCCUACCCUUUACCGGGCAGGACUGUUCCGGACAGUGUUUGGAGGCCGCAAGGUUUUCGGACGCUGGCCACAUUGACGCUUGUAUGUUUGACAGAGUUACAGUUGUAAACUAAAAAGA